GACGAACGCUGGCGGCGUGCUUAACACAUGCAAGUCGAGCGAUGAAAUUCUCUUCGGAGGAUGGAUUAGCGGCGGACGGGUGAGUAACACGUGGGUAACCUGCCUUAUAGUGGGGGAUAGCCUUUCGAAAGGAAGAUUAAUACCGCAUAAUAUUGUAGUUUCGCAUGAAACAACAAUUAAAGAUUUAUCGCUAUAAGAUGGACCCGCGGCGCAUUAGCUAGUUGGUGGGGUAACGGCCUACCAAGGCGACGAUGCGUAGCCGACCUGAGAGGGUGAUCGGCCACAUUGGGACUGAGACACGGCCCAGACUCCUACGGGAGGCAGCAGUGGGGAAUAUUGCACAAUGGGGGAAACCCUGAUGCAGCAACGCCGCGUGAGUGAUGACGGUCUUCGGAUUGUAAAGCUCUGUCUUUAGGGACGAUAAUGACGGUACCUAAAGAGGAAGCCACGGCUAACUACGUGCCAGCAGCCGCGGUAAAAC
rnacentral:rRNA from 1 species